rnacentral:rRNA from 1 species
GGGUUGUGAGGUUAAGCGACUAAGCGUACACGGUGGAUGCCCUGGCAGUCAGAGGCGAUGAAGGGCGUGCUAAUCUGCGAUAAGCGCCGGUAAGGUGAUAUGAACCGUUAUAACCGGCGAUACCCGAAUGGGGAAACCCAGUGUGAUUCGUCACACUAUCAUUAACUGAAUCCAUAGGUUAAUGAGGCGAACCGGGGGAACUGAAACAUCUAAGUACCCCGAGGAAAAGAAAUCAACCGAGAUUCCCCCAGUAGCGGCGAGCGAACGGGGAGGAGCCCAGAGCCUGAAUCAGCAUGUGUGUUAGUGGAAGCGUCUGGAAAGGCGCGCGAUACAGGGUGACAGCCCCGUACACAAAAGCGCAUGUGCUGUGAGCUCGAUGAGUAGGGCGGGACACGUGGUAUCCUGUCUGAAUAUGGGGGGACCAUCCUCCAAGGCUAAAUACUCCUGACUGACCGAUAGUGAACCAGUACCGUGAGGGAAAGGCGAAAAGAACCCCGGCGAGGGGAGUGAAAAAGAACCUGAAACCGUGUACGUACAAGCAGUGGGAGCACAGGUUUACCUGUGUGACUGCGUACCUUUUGUAUAAUGGGUCAGCGACUUAUAUUCUGUAGCAAGGUUAACCGAAUAGGGGAGCCGGAGGGAAACCGAGUCUUAAUUGGGCGUUAAGUUGCAGGGUAUAGACCCGAAACCCGGUGAUCUAGCCAUGGGCAGGUUGAAGGUUGGGUAACACUAACUGGAGGACCGAACCGACUAAUGUUGAAAAAUUAGCGGAUGACCUGUGGCUGGGGGUGAAAGGCCAAUCAAACCGGGAGAUAGCUGGUUCUCCCCGAAAGCUAUUUAGGUAGCGCCUCGUGAAUUCAUCUCCGGGGGUAGAGCACUGUUUCGGCUAGGGGGCCAUCCCGGCUUACCAACCCGAUGCAAACUGCGAAUACCGGAGAAUGUUAUCACGGGAGACACACGGCGGGUGCUAACGUCCGUCGUGAAGAGGGAAACAACCCAGACCGCCAGCUAAGGUCCCAAAGUCAUGGUUAAGUGGGAAACGAUGUGGGAAGGCCCAGACAGCCAGGAUGUUGGCUUAGAAGCAGCCAUCAUUUAAAGAAAGCGUAAUAGCUCACUGGUCGAGUCGGCCUGCGCGGAAGAUGUAACGGGGCUAAACCAUGCACCGAAGCUGCGGCAGCGACGCUUAUGCGUUGUUGGGUAGGGGAGCGUUCUGUAAGCCUGUGAAGGUGGCCUGUGAGGGUUGCUGGAGGUAUCAGAAGUGCGAAUGCUGACAUAAGUAACGAUAAAGCGGGUGAAAAGCCCGCUCGCCGGAAGACCAAGGGUUCCUGUCCAACGUUAAUCGGGGCAGGGUGAGUCGACCCCUAAGGCGAGGCCGAAAGGCGUAGUCGAUGGGAAACGGGUUAAUAUUCCCGUACUUGGUGUUACUGCGAAGGGGGGACGGAGAAGGCUAUGUUGGCCGGGCGACGGUUGUCCCGGUUUAAGCGUGUAGGCUGGUUUUCCAGGCAAAUCCGGAAAAUCAAGGCUGAGGCGUGACGACGAGGCACUACGGUGCUGAAGCAACAAAUGCCCUGCUUCCAGGAAAAGCCUCUAAGCAUCAGGUAACAUCAAAUCGUACCCCAAACCGACACAGGUGGUCAGGUAGAGAAUACCAAGGCGCUUGAGAGAACUCGGGUGAAGGAACUAGGCAAAAUGGUGCCGUAACUUCGGGAGAAGGCACGCUGACACGUAGGUGAAGUGAUUUACUCAUGGAGCUGAAGUCAGUCGAAGAUACCAGCUGGCUGCAACUGUUUAUUAAAAACACAGCACUGUGCAAACACGAAAGUGGACGUAUACGGUGUGACGCCUGCCCGGUGCCGGAAGGUUAAUUGAUGGGGUCAGCGCAAGCGAAGCUCCUGAUCGAAGCCCCGGUAAACGGCGGCCGUAACUAUAACGGUCCUAAGGUAGCGAAAUUCCUUGUCGGGUAAGUUCCGACCUGCACGAAUGGCGUAAUGAUGGCCAGGCUGUCUCCACCCGAGACUCAGUGAAAUUGAACUCGCUGUGAAGAUGCAGUGUACCCGCGGCAAGACGGAAAGACCCCGUGAACCUUUACUAUAGCUUGACACUGAACAUUGAGCCUUGAUGUGUAGGAUAGGUGGGAGGCUUUGAAGUGUGGACGCCAGUCUGCAUGGAGCCGACCUUGAAAUACCACCCUUUAAUGUUUGAUGUUCUAACGUGGACCCGUAAUCCGGGUUGCGGACAGUGUCUGGUGGGUAGUUUGACUGGGGCGGUCUCCUCCUAAAGAGUAACGGAGGAGCACGAAGGUUGGCUAAUCCUGGUCGGACAUCAGGAGGUUAGUGCAAUGGCAUAAGCCAGCUUGACUGCGAGCGUGACGGCGCGAGCAGGUGCGAAAGCAGGUCAUAGUGAUCCGGUGGUUCUGAAUGGAAGGGCCAUCGCUCAACGGAUAAAAGGUACUCCGGGGAUAACAGGCUGAUACCGCCCAAGAGUUCAUAUCGACGGCGGUGUUUGGCACCUCGAUGUCGGCUCAUCACAUCCUGGGGCUGAAGUAGGUCCCAAGGGUAUGGCUGUUCGCCAUUUAAAGUGGUACGCGAGCUGGGUUUAGAACGUCGUGAGACAGUUCGGUCCCUAUCUGCCGUGGGCGCUGGAGAACUGAGGGGGGCUGCUCCUAGUACGAGAGGACCGGAGUGGACGCAUCACUGGUGUUCGGGUUGUCAUGCCAAUGGCACUGCCCGGUAGCUAAAUGCGGAAGAGAUAAGUGCUGAAAGCAUCUAAGCACGAAACUUGCCCCGAGAUGAGUUCUCCCUGAGACUUAGAGUCUCCUGAAGGAACGUUGAAGACGACGACGUUGAUAGGCCGGGUGUGUAAGCGCAGCGAUGCGUUGAGCUAACCGGUACUAAUGAACCGUGAGGCUUAACCUUACAACGCCGAAG